rnacentral:rRNA from 1 species
AUUGAACGCUGGCGGCAUGCUUUACACAUGCAAGUCGAACGGCAGCGCGGGCUUCGGCCUGGCGGCGAGUGGCGGACGGGUGAGUAAUUCAUCGGAACGUGCCCAGUAGUGGGGGAUAGCCCGGCGAAAGCCGGAUUAAUACCGCAUACGACCUGAGGGUGAAAGCGGGGGACCGAAAGGCCUCGCGCUAUUGGAGCGGCCGAUGUCGGAUUAGCUAGUUGGUGGGGUAAAGGCUUACCAAGGCGACGAUCCGUAGCUGGUCUGAGAGGACGACCAGCCACACUGGGACUGAGACACGGCCCAGACUCCUACGGGAGGCAGCAGUGGGGAAUUUUGGACAAUGGGGGCAACCCUGAUCCAGCCAUGCCGCGUGCGGGAAGAAGGCCUUCGGGUUGUAAACCGCUUUUGUUCGGGAAGAAAACCUCUGGGCUAAUACCCCGGGGGGAUGACGGUACCGGAAGAAUAAGCACCGGCUAACUACGUG